rnacentral:rRNA from 1 species
AGAGCGAACGCUGGCGGCAGGCUUAACACAUGCAAGUCGAGCGGGCGUAGCAAUACGUCAGCGGCAGACGGGUGAGUAACGCGUGGGAACAUACCUUUUGGUUCGGAACAACACAGGGAAACUUGUGCUAAUACCGGAUAAGCCCUUACGGGGAAAGAUUUAUCGCCGAAAGAUUGGCCCGCGUCUGAUUAGCUAGUUGGUGAGGUAACGGCUCACCAAGGCGACGAUCAGUAGCUGGUCUGAGAGGAUGAUCAGCCACAUUGGGACUGAGACACGGCCCAAACUCCUACGGGAGGCAGCAGUGGGAAUAUUGGACAAUGGGCGCAAAGCCUGAUCCAGCCAUGCCGCGUGAGUGAUGAAGGCCCUAGGGUUGUAAAGCUCUUUUGUGCGGGAAGAUAAUGACGGUACCGCAAGAAUAAGCCCCGGCUAACUUCGUGCCAGCAGCCGC